GUGUUAGGUUCUGCAGCAUACAUACCAAAACUGGAACUCUGCAGAGAAGAUCAACAAAGCCCAUGCAUAAGGAUAGCAAACUGAUAAGAUGGUCCAUAUUGUG